rnacentral:rRNA from 1 species
GAUGAACGCUAGCUACAGGCUUAACACAUGCAAGUCGAGGGGAAACGACAUCGCAAGCUUGCUUUUGAUGGGCGUCGACCGGCGCACGGGUGAGUAACGCGUAUCCAACCUGCCCAUCACUUGGGAAUAACCUUGCGAAAGUAAGACUAAUACCCAAUGACAUCCCACGAAGACAUCUGAAUGGGAUUAAAGAUUUAUCGGUGAUGGAUGGGGAUGCGUCUGAUUAGCUUGUUGGCGGGUUAACGGCCCACCAAGGCAACGAUCAGUAGGGGUUCUGAGAGGAAGGUCCCCCACAUGGGAACUGAGACACGGUCCAAACUCCUACGGGAGGCAGCAGUGAGGAAUACUGGUCAAUGGGCGAGAGCCUGAACCAGCCAAGUAGCGUGCAGGAGGACGGCCCUAUGGGUGGUAAACUGCUUUUAUAAGGGAAUAAAGUGGGUCUCGUGAGACUUUUUGCAGGUACCUUAUGAAUAAGGACCGGCUAAUUCCGUG